rnacentral:rRNA from 1 species
UUACGGAGAGUUUGAUCCUGGCUCAGAGUGAACGCUGGCGGCAUGCCUAACACAUGCAAGUCGAACGGACUUUGGCAGUGUAUCGUCAAGGUUAGUGGCAAACGGGUGUGUAAUACGUGAAUAACCUCCCUUCGAGUGGGGGAUAACUCCGGGAAACCGGAGCUAAUAC